UACGUAGGUGGCAAGCGUUGUUCGGAAUUAUUGGGCGUAAAGGGCGCGUAGGCGGCGCAACAAGUCACUUGUGAAAUCUCCGGGCUUAACUCGGAAAGGUCAAGUGAUACUGUUGUGCUAGAGUGCGGAAGGGGCAACUGGAAUUCUCGGUGUAGCGGUGAAAUGCGUAGAUAUCGAGAGGAACACCUGCGGCGAAGGCGGGUUGCUGGGCCGACACUGACGCUGAUGCGCGAAAGCCAGGGGAGCGAACGGG
rnacentral:rRNA from 1 species